GGGGGCGAAUUGGAUUCGACCGGAUAGCUUGAAGUGUCGGUGGCGUGUCGUGGUUGGUCAGUUGGCCACGUUAAAAGCUGACCGCUCAAUUUAGUUGCCGAGGAAAACCUCGUACUGGCCGCCUAGAGAUAGGUAGCCCCGACUGCGGGACUUAGUCGGAGAGUCCCAAAAGUUGGUCGCCAAAUCCGGCUCGUCGUCAGUCAUGUCGAGCACGCUGACGGCUAAAAAAUGUUCUCGGCUGGUUCGUCGAGCAGCCUGUCGUUUGGCGGCUCGCGGACGAGACUCAAACAAUCGACUACACACGUAGAAGCAGGCAUGGAAAUGUCGCGGGACGCGGGUUCGAUCCCCGCCGCCUCCACUG
rnacentral:tmRNA from 1 species